CACGUACUGUGCGAACGUUAUUCGGAAUCACUGGGCUUAAAGGGUGCGUAGGCGGCCAGAUUAGUAGGAUGUGAAAUCCCACAGCUCAACUGUGGAACUGCGUUCUAAACUGUCUGGCUUGAGUAAGAUAGGGGUAUGCGGAACUUCCAGUGGAGCGGUGAAAUGUGUUGAUAUUGGAAGGAACACCGGUGGCGAAGGCGGCAUACUGGGUCUUUACUGACGCUGAGGCACGAAAGCCAGGGGAGCGAACGGG
rnacentral:rRNA from 1 species